CUUCGGUCGGCGAUACGCUCCU
rnacentral:siRNA from 1 species